GAUGAACGCUAGCUACAGGCUUAACACAUGCAAGUCGAGGGGCAGCGGGAUUGAAGCUUGCUUCAAUUGCCGGCGACCGGCGCACGGGUGAGUAACGCGUAUCCAACCUUCCGCUUACUCGGGGAUAGCCUUUCGAAAGAAAGAUUAAUACCCGAUGGUAUCUUAAGCACGCAUGAGAUUAAGAUUAAAGAUUUAUCGGUAAGCGAUGGGGAUGCGUUCCAUUAGGCAGUUGGCGGGGCAACGGCCCACCAAGGCGACGAUGCGUAGCCGGCCUGAGAGGGCGGACGGCCACACUGGGACUGAGACACGGCCCAG
rnacentral:rRNA from 1 species